AGCAGCCGCGGUAAUUCCAGCUCCAAUAGCGUAUAUUAAAGUUGUUGCAGUUAAAAGCUCGUAGUUGAAUUUCGGGAUUGACGUGAUGGUCAUGCCUUAAGGGGUAUGAACUGUUACUGUUGAUUUCUCACCUUCUGGAGAAACUUGAUGUCCUUUAUUGGGUGUCUUGCGGAUCCAGGACCUUUACCUUGAAAAAUUAGAGUGUUUAAAGCAGGCAUUUUUGCUCGAAUACAUUAGCAUGGAAUAAUAGAAUAGGACGGCAUGGUUCUAUUUUGUUGGUUUCUAGGAUCACCGUAAUGAUUAAUAGGGAUAGUUGGGGGCAUUAGUAUUCAAUUGUCAGAGGUGAAAUUCUUGGAUUUAUUGAAGACUAACUACUGCGAAAGCAUUUGCCAAGGAUGUUUUCAUUAAUCAAGAACGAAAGUUAGGGAUCGAAGACGAUCAGAUACCGUCGUAGUCUUAACCAUAAACUAUGCCGACUAGGAAUCAGACGAUGUUAAUUUUUAAUGUACUCGUUGGUA
rnacentral:misc_RNA from 1 species